rnacentral:rRNA from 1 species
CGUAGUACUCUWGAUCGUGCAUGUCUAGUCGUCGUAGUCGAGUCAGUGAUUGACCUAGCGGCGGACGGUUGAGUAAUACUUAGGAAUCUGCCUAUUAAUGGGGGACAACAUCUCGAAAGGGAUGCUAAUACCGCAUACGCCCUACGGGGGAAAGCAGGGGAUCACUUGUGACCUUGCGUUAAUAGAUGAGCCUAAGUCGGAUUAGCUAGUUGGUGGGGUAAAGGCCUACCAAGGCGACGAUCUGUAGCGGGUCUGAGAGGAUGAUCCGCCACACUGGGACUGAGACACGGCCCAGACUCCUACGGGAGGCAGCAGUGGGGAAUAUUGGACAAUGGGGGGAACCCUGAUCCAGCCAUGCCGCGUGUGUGAAGAAGGCCUUAUGGUUGUAAAGCACUUUAAGCGAGGAGGAGGCUCUUCUGGUUAAUACCUAGGAUGAGUGGACGUUACUCGCAGAAUAAGCACCGGCUAACUCUGUGCCAGCAGCCGCGGUAAUACAGAGGGUGCGAGCGUUAAUCGGAUUUACUGGGCGUAAAGCGUGCGUAGGCGGCUUUUUAAGUCGGAUGUGAAAUCCCCGAGCUUAACUUGGGAAUUGCAUUCGAUACUGGGAAGCUAGAGUAUGGGAGAGGAUGGUAGAAUUCCAGGUGUAGCGGUGAAAUGCGUAGAGAUCUGGAGGAAUACCGAUGGCGAAGGCAGCCAUCUGGCCUAAUACUGACGCUGAGGUACGAAAGCAUGGGGAGCAAACAGGAUUAGAUACCCUGGUAGUCCAUGCCGUAAACGAUGUCUACUAGCCGUUGGGCCCUUUGAGGCUUUAGUGGCGCAGCUAACGCGAUAAGUAGACCGCCUGGGGAGUACGGUCGCAAGACUAAACUCAAAUGAAUUGACGGGGGCCCGCACAAGCGGUGGAGCAUGUGGUUAAUUCGAUGCAACGCGAAGAACCGUAACUUG